rnacentral:rRNA from 1 species
GACGAACGCUGGCGGCGUGCUUAACACAUGCAAGUCGAACGGAAAGGCCCUGCUUUUGUGGGGUGCUCGAGUGGCGAACGGGUGAGUAACACGUGAGUAACCUGCCCUUGACUUUGGGAUGACUUCAGGAAACUGGGGCUAAUAUCGGAUAGGAGCUCCUGCUGCAUGGUGGGGGUUGGAAAGUUUCGGCGGUUGGGGAUGGACUCGCGGCUUAUCAGCUUGUUGGUGGGGUAGUGGCUUACCAAGGCUUUGACGGGUAGCCGGCCUGAGAGGGUGACCGGCCACAUUGGGACUGAGAUACGGCCCAGACUCCUACGGGAGGCAGCAGUGGGGAAUAUUGCACAAUGGGCGGAAGCCUGAUGCAGCAACGCCGCGUGCGGGAUGACGGCCUUCGGGUUGUAAACCGCUUUCGCCUGUGACGAAGCGUGAGUGACGGUAAUGGGUAAAGAAGCACCGGCUAACUACGUG